UGGCUCAGGACGAACGCUGGCGGCGUGCCUAAUACAUGCAAGUCGAACGCUUCUUUUUCCANCGGAGCUUGCUCCACCGGAAAAAGAGGAGUGGCGAACGGGUGAGUAACACGUGGGUAACCUGCCCAUCAGAAGGGGAUAACACUUGGAAACAGGUGCUAAUACCGUAUAAUAAUUAAAACCGCAUGGUUUUAAUUUGAAAGGCGCUUUACGGUGCCACUGAUGGAUGGACCCGCGGUGCAUUAGCUAGUUGGUGAGGUAACGGCUCACCAAGGCGACGAUGCAUAGCCGACCUGAGAGGGUGAUCGGCCACAUUGGGACUGAGACACGGCCCAAACUCCUACGGGAGGCAGCAGUAGGGAAUCUUCGGCAAUGGACGAAAGUCUGACCGAGCAACGCCGCGUGAGUGAAGAAGGUUUUCGGAUCGUAAAACUCUGUUGUUAGAGAAGAACAAGGAUGAGAGUAACUGUUCAUCCCUUGACGGUAUCUAACCAGAAAGCCACGGCUAACUACGUGCCAGCAGCCGCGGUAAUACGUAGGUGGCAAGCGUUGUCCGGAUUUAUUGGGCGUAAAGCGAGCGCAGGCGGUUUCUUAAGUCUGAUGUGAAAGCCCCCGGCUCAACCGGGGAGGGUCAUUGGAAACUGGGAGACUUGAGUGCAGAAGAGGAGAGUGGAAUUCCAUGUGUAGCGGUGAAAUGCGUAGAUAUAUGGAGGAACACCAGUGGCGAAGGCGGCUCUCUGGUCUGUAACUGACGCUGAGGCUCGAAAGCGUGGGGAGCAAACAGGAUUAGAUACCCUGGUAGUCCACGCCGUAAACGAUGAGUGCUAAGUGUUGGAGGGUUUCCGCCCUUCAGUGCUGCAGCUAACGCAUUAAGCACUCCGCCUGGGGAGUACGAUYCGCAAGGUUGAAACUCAAAGGAAUUGACGGGGGCCCGCACAAGCGGUGGAGCAUGUGGUUUAAUUCGAAGCAACGCGAAGAACCUUACCAGGUCUUGACAUCCUUUGACCACUCUAGAGAUAGAGCUUCCCCUUCGGGGGCAAAGUGACAGGUGGUGCAUGGUUGUCGUCAGCUCGUGUCGUGAGAUGUUGGGUUAAGUCCCGCAACGAGCGCAACCCUUAUUGUUAGUUGCCAUCAUUUAGUUGGGCACUCUAGCAAGACUGCCGGUGACAAACCGGAGGAAGGUGGGGAUGACGUCAAAUCAUCAUGCCCCUUAUGACCUGGGCUACACACGUGCUACAAUGGGAAGUACAACGNAGUUGCGAAGUCGCGAGGCUAAGCUAAUCUCUUAAAGCUUCUCUCAGUUCGGAUUGUAGGCUGCAACUCGCCUACAUGAAGCCGGAAUGCUAGUAAUCGCGGAUCAGCACGCCGCGGUGAAUACGUUCCCGGGCCUUGUACACACCGCCCGUCACACCACGAGAGUUUGUAACACCCGAAGUCGGUGAGGUAACCUUUUGGAGCCAGCCGCCUAAGGUGGGAUAGAUGAUUGGGGUGAAGUCGUAACAAGGUAGCCGUAUCGGAAGGUGCGGCUGGAUCACC
rnacentral:rRNA from 1 species